GCCGGCUCGCGCCACUCUAGGGGGGCGCUCCCCUCUCCCUGCGCCCCCCAGUUCCACGCCCGCCCCUGGCCCGGCCGCCCCCCGCGGGCCACUGCUGCGGGUGCUCUCCGGUGAGUGGGGCACAAAGGCGCUGCAGGCCUGGGGGACCAAUGCGCGAGGGGACCCGCUGCCCUGACCAUCAGGUUGCCUGCAAAGAGCCCCGCUCUGGAGUCAGCGACCUUGUUGGGUCUUCGCCCCAGGUCUGCCCUUGACAAUGCAGUGUGACCCACCUAGGGCAGGCUCCUCAGCCGGAGUCACGGGAGGUGGCUCUCAUUUGCCCGGCGGCACAGUCGGGAUUCGAACGCGGACCUACAGGACUCCAGAGUCCAAGCGCGAUCGUGCUUCUCCAUGCGUGGGUCUUCCAGGCCUGUGGUUUUGGGAAAGGGACUUAACUGUGGCCGAUCACUUGUUUCCAAUCCAGGCAACAUUUCGGACCGCGUGUUUUGCAUCUGCCUAACGAUGAAUGCUGCUUCUUUCAUCAUCCCGAAGCCCACCUGUAAGAAGUCACUGGCGCAGCCCCUGAGUGUAACCUACUUUCUGUGGCCUUCAUUUGUCACAAGGACAGUUCUUGAUUGUGAACAAGACAAGGAUAUUUGCUAUUACUUCUUUUCAAGAUUCUUAUCCUGUGAAAUAAGAGAGAGAGAGAGCAUGCACGCGGCAAGCCAGGAGAAAGGGCA